AAAAUAAUCCUACCCUUUGUGAAUUUUGUUUGUUUGAAUAAUUUUUUUUUUUAAAAAAUUAUUGGAGUCUUUCCCUUUAGAGUUUGCUUUUGAGUUUGUAAAAGAAUUCGAAAACAUCUAAAGGGGAUGGUCAAUAAUUUUUUUGAAAAAAGACAUUUUUUAAAAUUAAACUUUUUGUAUUCAUUUGUCUAAAAAUUAUUUUUAUAAUAUAAAAACAACUUUUGACAAUGGAUCUCUUGGUUCUCGCAACGAUGAAGAACGCAGCAAAAUGCGAUAAGUAGUGUGAAUUGCAGAAUACGUGAAUCAUCGAAUCUUUGAACGCAUAUUGCACUUUUUUAGUUUACUAAAAAAGUAUGUCUGUUUGAGUAUCAGUAAAAUAUUCUCAUAAAAAUCAUUGUGUAUUUUUAUGGUUAUGAGUGUUUUACAACGAUACAAGUUGUUUCACUUUAAAUUUUUUUUUAAUAUUGAAAUUUUUCUAAUUUUAAUAAUUAAAAUUGGAUAAAAUUUUCCCGUCAAAAGGAAUAACCUAAACAAUUUUAAUGAUUAAUUUUAGCAAAAUUUUCGUAAAAAAGGAAAAUUUUUAUUAAAAUAACUUGAUCUCAAAUCAGAUAAGAGUACCCGCUGAACUUAAGCAUAUCAAUAAGCGGAGGAAAAGAAACUAACAAGGAUUCCCUUAGUAACGGCGAGUGAAGCGGGAAGAGCUCAAAUUUGAAAUCUUCAAGGUUUUACCUUGACGAAUUGUAGUUUAAAGAAGUGUUUUCUGCUGAAGUUUUGGUAAAAGUUCUUUGGAAUAGGACAUCAUAGAGGGUGAGAAUCCCGUAUUUGACCAUUAUUUUCAGCUUUGUGAUACACUUUCAAAGAGUCGGAUUGUUUGGGUAUGCAGUCCAAAAUGGGUGGUAAAUUUCAUCUAAAGCUAAAUAUUGGCGAGAGACCGAUAGCGAACAAGUACCGUGAGGGAAAGAUGAAAAGAACUUUGAAAAGAGAGUUAAACAGUACGUGAAAUUGUCAAAAGGGAAGCGUUUGACACCAGUGUUGUUUUCUCGAAAAUCAAUUAAAAAUGGCUCGAUUUUGUAUUGCUGAGACCUUUAAAAGCUCACUGUACAUUUUUCGUGUCUUUUUUAAUGCACUUUUCGUUUAACAAGUCAACAUCAGUUUCUUUUGUUGUAAAAGGGUCAUUGGAAGGUGGCUUUCUUUUCGGAGAAAGUGUUUAUAGCCUUUGGCCUCUGCAAUCGGAGAGACUGAGGUCUGCAGCGUAGACUCUUCGGGUUGGAUACAUUUGUGCUAAGUUAUAGCUUCUUAUAGACAACUUGUUGACUAUAAUUAGUCUUGUAGCUUACUCGCUUAUGCUAUUUUACCUACGCUUAGGAUG
rnacentral:misc_RNA from 1 species